UUUAUUGCAAUGAAUCAGCGCCGGGCGCCUUCCGGUGCCUCCCCCGGGGAGCCCGGCCCGCCGCCCCCUCGCCGCCCCGCCUCCCGCCCGCCCCCCGGGCCGCGCUGCCCGCCCGCCCCCGCCCGUCGGCGCUGGGCUGCGGGGAGGGGGACCCCCGCGAGCAAAGGGCAGGGUGUUGGAUGCUGGGUGUGGGGAGCUGGGUCCCUCCCUGAGGGCUCCCAUCUCAGCUGCCGCUGUGGGCAGGGGGACGCUGGCCACCCCGUGAGGGGACCCCAAUUUGCGCCCCCCUGCCGUGUGUUUCCUCUGCCCCGCAGGGAUAGCCCUCCCCCUCCUCCGGUGAGGAUGGGGCCGCUGUGACCUGAUUCACUCCCAUCUUGCCCCUCUGAGCACUCCCUGCCGCAUGUCAGGCCCACUCCGGGGUACGCGAUGCUCCCAAAACGACAUCCCUGUGGUCCUGGGCCCGGGCAUCUCUGCCACAUCAGGCAUUCCAUGGGCAUCUGGUUUGGGCCUCAGCCCCUGGUUGCCCCAAGAGGCUCAGCCAGGACGUGACCAAGUCCACCAGCUUCAUUUGAGGCCCUGCAUCCAACCGGCUCUGCACCGUCACCAUCAGCUCUUCCUGUAUCCUUUCCUCAGGGCACCCCACCUUUCCAGUUUUGCAUUAACACUGCUCCCCCUUAUCUUUUUUGUUGUGCCCUGCAAUCACUGGAUUUACGUCCUUUUCCUCCCCCCCCCGAUGGAAGGCACCACAGUUCGUUAUAGUCUGGCCAGUGCCCAGUGUCACGGGGAAACCAGUAAAGGCUGUGGCGGUUGGAGGUGAUACUUAAGAAGAACACACAAGCCUGCAGUCCCUUCCUCUUGUACACCAUUCAUUUUGUCAUCCUUUUACGAGAGUUGACACAAGGCUGACCCAGCUUCCUAGCCAUUGCCUCAAUGGUGCAGCCAAGGGCAGGGCUGCACUUAAUGAACUUAUUCACCCUGCUUCCAAAGCGGUAUUUGCUCAGCUACGUACUUUUGCAGCAUCACCCUUUGGACUUUGAGUCCUGUUCCCCCUCCAUCGUUUUUCUUGAAUGACCGACACUUCUAUAGGUGUUUGCAAGCCAAACCCCAGAGGAAAUGGGACACCACUUCAAAAAGAGCAAAAAAACGAGGCAGCAAGUCAAGAGCAUUCAAGGAACAUCUGGAGGAAGGCUUCUGGUGCGGAAAGGCUGCAGGACUUGGCAUGUUUGUGCACACCUUGCUUCAAAAGACAGGACUCCAGGACUUAUCUGUGGCCACUCCAGCAAUGCGUGACAACAGCCAAGCACCUUGCGGGGAGCUGUGCAGGUGCUUCACCACCCACAGAUUAUUUAACUGCCCUAUCGGCACCACUCGGCUCACAGCACCACCAAAACCCAUCACCAUUAUCAUCAGGCGCUGCUGGGAAACGCAACAGAAGAGAACGAGGCAGUUGCCCCCAGCGUCCCCUGGGCCAGUUUCCUGGGUGGAGAUCUCCCCAGCACUAGGAUUUUUGUCUCCAGCUGCCCUCUGAGCACAUUUCUUUGCUGCAUGCCAGCCCGCAGCCUGGCCUCUCCUGUGGCUGAUAAGAGGUGGAGAUUGGCCUUUAUCUUUGGUGACUCAUGGCUGCUCCUGCUUCACUUGCGCUCCGAGGCCUGCUUGCCUCCUUCAUGGGAAAGCUCCUAAGUGUUGACCAGGGGCAGGAGAAGCACAAGCACACCUGCACCCAGAAAUCCCCCUCAGCCAUGGUCAUGCGAUCGCUUAAUGCCCUGCAGUGCCUCGCUCACUGCUUCUGCUGCUCCUCUCAUUGCAUAAAGCAAGGCUAUAAUGGUAAAGCCAUGGGACAGUUUGCUUUAUCCCUGCUCAGAACUGAAUGGCGAUUGUGUUGGCAUGAUUAUUAAUUAAAAAUAAAAAUUCUCUCUUAUUUAUGCCACAGGCCAUCACCAGGUGACCAAUGCCUUGGGUGGCUGAAGUCAUCGGAUCUUUCUCAAUCCCUGAAAAGCAUCUCCUGGUGUCCCAGUGUCAUGGGGCAGCUUGUCCCCAUGCUGUCCCCAGUUCAGGAAUGGGGACACCCGGAUGUGCCACCCAGCUGUGUGGCGCUGGGGACUUUGGGUGUUUUCCAGUGAAGGGAAGGGAGGUCCCCAGAUAGGGGUAGGAUGCUUGGAAGCGCCACGGCCCCACCGGAGGUGUGGGGUGUUGUGUUGCCAUGGAGGAGAAACACCCUCCCAGGUGUGGUAUGUGCCCAGUGAGUCACUGCCCCAUGCUGCCGCCACGAUGGGCAGUGGGGGGGAGACUUUAUGCUUCCCCCCAGGUUUUUUACAGCCAAGUUUUCUCCCAAAGGCUAUUUAUUUCUGUGCAUGCACAUGUUGCGUAUAUGCAGAAGGGGUACUGUACACAUGGGGUACCAAGGCGGAGGCCUGGCACCCCCUUGCCUACCCUUGGCUACACCAACAUGCCAGCCACAGGGGCACGGCCGUGCACAGGGGAGAAUGAGGAUAAGGGUGAGGAGGGGGCUGCCCAAGGGAAGGGCGGCUGCUCAGCGCCACUGGCACACAGCACCCUGCUCCCCUGCCUGAAACAGACCAGGGUGGUUUUAUUUUCGUUCCCCACAAGCAAUUGCUGCAAGUCAUCUUGAAUCAUAAGUGAUUUCUCAUCUGACAGCGGGGGGGGGGGGGGGGGGGGGAAGAGGGAAAAAGGCCUUAACCUGAUGAGAAAACUGGGAACUGGGAUGGGGACACAGCCAUCCCCAAGGGAGCCGGACUGCAUUUCUCUGGGAGAUCAACAGGUUGUGAGUCACUGAAAAAGUCCCCUCCACAAAGCCAGGCUGUGAUCAGUGAUUGCUGUGGACAUUAAGGCCGAUGAGCUUUUUUCAAGCAUCUGGGACCAUGGGGCAAAGGGAGCAGGAGGGCAGAGAGGAGGUUUGGGUUCAUGGGGGGCUGGCAGGGAGCCUAGAGUGGGAUCUCAGCCCCGACCUUCAAAACCCAGUGCUAAGUGAUAGACCUGUCUCCCAGCUCUUGCGUGUUACUCCCAUCCAGGUGUUUAAAAAAGCAGGUUUCACUUCUCUUUGGUGAAAGGCAACCUUGUUCUUCCAUGUGCCGCAGGGCUGGGGCGGCCUGUCGGCAGCAACGGGGUGACUCAGCCCGCCCACGCAGCAGCCUGCCAUCCAGCCCCAGCUAUAUUUGCCGAGCAGGUGAAUGAAUCAUUGCACAGAAAGACCUUAGACCUUGCCAUCUUGCCCAUUUUUACUCCUUUUUUUCCCCCUUCCCCUCCCUGGAGCAGCACCAGCCCAGCAGCAGCCCUGGGUCCCUGCCUGCCCAAGGCUGGUGCUCUGUGAGGGGCAGUGCAUUGGCUGUCCCGCCGGGCUGUGGGCAGCCCAGCCAGCAGCUCAGAGGUCCCACGGCCGCCUGCAAGCCAAGGGCAAGCCCAACAGCACCGGCCAGGGGUGGAGGAAACACUGAGGGCACAUUGCAGCUACAAAGCUGCCAGGUCUUUUUUCUUAAUGAUUUUUUUAUCUCUGGCAAGAGGAAGUCAUGAAGCCAUUAUGUUUCAUUGAAACAUGAAGAGGGAGGGCACCCCAGCACACAGGACUGAGACAAGGCCAAAGCUCCGGCCUCUGGGUUGCCAGAGAGAGCAAUAAAAUGUGGAGGCAUCGUGGGACUAAGCUGACAGUUUGGCCUCUGCAAUUCUCACUGUUCCCCAAGGGAGAUUUCUACCACAUGCCUGCCUUUUUUCCUCCCUGGUCAUGCAUUAGGACUGACAGACAAGGAGGUGCCUACAGGAACAGUGCACACAUGGGCUGGAUGGGUUAGUCCCACCUUGGUGCUUGCUGUGCAGGGUCACAGAGCACAGGCAGGGUGUCUCUAUCAGAGCGCAGCUACCUACUG